GCAGUAGCCACGGUAAUACGAAGGGUGCAAGCGUUACUCGGAAUUACUGGGCGUAAAGCGUGCGUAGGUGGUGGUUUAAGUCCGUUGUGAAAGCCCUGGGCUCAACCUGGGAAUUGCAGUGGAUACUGGGUCACUAGAGUGUGGUAGAGGAUAGUGGAAUUUCCGGUGUAGCAGUGAAAUGCGUAGAGAUCGGAAGGAACAUCAGUGGCGAAGGCGGCCAUCUGGGACAACACUGACGCUGAAGCACGAAAGCGUGGGGAGCAAACAGGAUUAGAUACCCCCGUAGUCCCUGUCUCUUAUAC
rnacentral:rRNA from 1 species